AUACGUAGGGUGCAAGCGUUAAUCGGAAUUACUGGGCGUAAAGCGUGCGCAGGCGGUUUUGUAAGACAGUGGUGAAAUCCCCGGGCUCAAACUGGGAACUGCCAUUGUGACUGCAAGGCUGGAGUGCGGCAGAGGGGGAUGGAAUUCCGCGUGUAGCCGUGAAAUGCGUAGAUAUGCGGAGGAACACCGAUGGCGAAGGCAAUCCCCUGGGCCUGCACUGACGCUCAUGCACGAAAGCGUGGGGAGCAAACAGGAUUAGAUACCCUGGUAGUCCACGCCCUAAACGAUGUCAACUGGUUGUUGGGGAUUUAUUUUCUCAGUAACGAAGCUAACGCGUGAAGUUGACCGCCUGGGGAGUGCGGCCGCAAGGUUAAAACUCAAAUGAAUUGACGGGG
rnacentral:rRNA from 1 species